UUGCGACCACAUCACGUUGAAACCGAUUCCCGUACGAUCAGCGAAGUUAAGCAACGUCGAGCCUGGUCAGUACAUAGAUGGGUAACCGCCUGGGAAUGCUAGGAGUUGUAAG